AGAACCAUAACCAAAUCAGAAGACAUCAUGAUUGUCUCCACAAGUUAGAAUCAAAGAAAAAAAACAAAAAAUGUUUCCUGGUGGAGUCUCCAACUCAUGAUGAUUGUUGAUAAGGAGAUUAUCAUGCUCUUUCUCACGCCUCUCAUCUCGAGGAAGAAAGAUAGCUCUUCAUCUUCCUCUGUCAUCAUAGAAGCCCUAAGCUGUUGUCUCUGCCUCUGCUGAAUAUCCAGCAAUAGAGACUCAUGUGCCCUAAAGGUUCAAUUCAUCUCUCAACCAAAUUUACAGAACACUAAGAGUCCUAUCUCUAUUUUGAUAUUCUUUUGUUUUAAAAUCUUCAUUGAUUGAAGAAUUUAAUUUUUCUUCUACCUGAUCAAUGGAUUUCAAAUUGCUUUUCUUCAAUCCAUCUGCCUCCCAU
rnacentral:lncRNA from 1 species